rnacentral:rRNA from 1 species
UACGUAGGGUGCAAGCGUUGUCCGGAAUUAUUGGCGUAAAGAGCUCGUAGGCGGUCUGUCGCGUCUGCUGUGAAAACUCAGGGCUUAACCCUGAGCUUGCAGUGGGUACGGGCAGACUAGAGUGCGGUAGGGGAGACUGGAAUUCCUGGUGUAGCGGUGAAAUGCGCAGAUAUCAGGAGGAACACCGGUGGCGAAGGCGGGUCUCUGGGCCGAUACUGACGCUGGAGGAGCGAAAGCGUGGGAGCGAACAGGAUUA